UGGGGUGUGGGGUAAUUGGCAGCCCGACGGGUUCUGGCCCCGUUAGUCUAGGUUCGAGUCCUGGCACCCCAG
rnacentral:tRNA from 1 species